UACGAAGGGUGCAAACGUUGCUCGGAAUCAUUGGGCGUAAAGCGCACGUAGGCGGCCUCAUAAGUCGGAUGUGAAAUCCCUCGGCUCAACCGAGGACGUGCAUUCGAAACUGCGAGGCUCGAGUAUGGAAGAGGGUCGCGGAAUUCCCGGUGUAGAGGUGAAAUUCGUAGAUAUCGGGAGGAACACCAGUGGCGAAGGCGGCGACCUGGGCCAAUACUGACGCUGAGGUGCGAAAGCGUGGG
rnacentral:rRNA from 1 species